rnacentral:rRNA from 1 species
UACGUAGGGACCAAGCGUUGUUCGGAUUUACUGGGCGUAAAGGGCGCGUAGGCGGCAAUUCAAGUCAUCUGUGAAAUCUCCGGGCUUAACUCGGAACGGUCAGGUGAUACUGCUUUGCUAGAGUGCGGAAGGGGCAAUCGGAAUUCUCGGUGUAGCGGUGAAAUGCGUAGAUAUCGAGAGGAACACCUGAGGUGAAGACGGGUUGCUGGGCCGACACUGACGCUGACAGCGCGAAAGCCAGGGAGCAAAGCGGG